GAUGUAUUUCUGUCCUUUAUUCCUUUUAUUUACCGGCCACAACCUCCAGCGUGGGCUCUCCUCAUGUAUGUUUUGAGACGUUUAGUUUUUGCCCCGCCGAGUCUGUGUAGAAGGCGGCCGGCCUGUGUCUGCAGUGGUAAAAGCGAUAUAAUUCGGUAAGAUGUUUAUUUUCGGUUAUUUAGGCUGGUUUAGUUCAAUUUAAUUUGUUAUUCUGCUUCUCGGUAUUUUUAUUGUGUUUUGUCGCUUUCGUUUACCUAGUUGAAUGAUCGGAAUCGUUUUGGCACGGCGCCAGGCGAGGAGGCGAAUUGUAAGUCCUCAAGUGCUGUAUGGGACCUGACUGUGUGAUUUUUCGUUUUAGGAACCGUGUGUUGUGUCAACCCGGCAUAAUACAUGAGUACCGAGAUAUCGCCUCUAAGAGGGGCCCGGCGAGUGAGACACCUGCUACGAGCCCACUUUGAGGCAACAAGCGAACUGCUGCAAAAAGCACAGGCGGUCACAGUUCCGAAUUCGCCUGAAGGACGCCACAGACGCUGGAAACCGCAAGUACAGUCUCCAGAUCUGCAACUGGCGUAUCUACUGCUUCACCUCCUCCUGAUGAGGGGAUCUUCAGCCUGCACUUCCGCAGCCUGGCUGUCACCUGCUGCACAGCAACCUGCGCGAGACCUGACCAGUACUUGGCAUUACGCCAACUGCAUCUGAACUGUGGAACCGUGUGUUGUGUCAACCCGGCAUAAUACAUGAGUACCGAGA
rnacentral:misc_RNA from 1 species